UCUUGAACGCACAUUGCGGCCAUGGGCUAGCUCAUGGCCACGCCUGUCCGAGGGUCGGCUUAUAAACUAUCACGACGCCCAAAAAGUCGUGGCUUGGGUCUUGCCAGCUGACGUGAUUUCCCUAUUUGUGCAAACGAACGGGGUGUCAGAUCUAUGGCGUUUCCCUAAUAAUUCCAGUUACAACUCCUUUUGGCUGAAGGCCAUAUUGGAGGGUGAUUGUGGAGUCGUGGCUCAAUGGUAAUGUUUGUGCGCGCUCUGCAUGUUCACCGCUGUAUCUGUCUAAUGUGAAAUGCUUUUCGCAUUUUACCUGACCUCGGAUCAGACGUGAAUACCCGCUGAACUUAAGCAUAUCACUAAGCGGAGGAAAAGAAACUAACAAGGAUUCCCUCAGUAACGGCGAGUGAACAGGGAAAAGCCCAGCACCGAAGCCUGUGGCCAUUUGGUCAUUAGGCAAUGUGGUGUUUAGGUCGUUCCGCAGAGGUUCUGCUCCACCCUAAGUCCAUCAAUGAGUACGGUAGUAUGGACAUGGCCCAUUG
rnacentral:rRNA from 1 species